AGCGUGCGAUUGGAUUGCACGUCUAAGCAGUAAGGCUGAGUAUUAGGCAAAUCCGGUACUCGUUAAGGCUGAGCUGUGAUGGGGAGAAGACAUUGAGUCUUCGAGUCGUUGAUUUCACACUGCCGAGAAAAGCCUCUAGAUAGAAAAUAGGUGCCCGUACCGCAAACCGACACAGGUAGUCAAGAUGAGAAUUCUAAGGUGAGCGAGCGAACUCUCGUUAAGGAACUCGGCAAAAUGACCCCGUAACUUCGGGAGAAGGGGUGCUCUUUAGGGUUAACGCCCAGAAGAGCCGCAGUGAAUAGGCCCAAGCGACUGUUUAUCAAAAACACAGGUCUCUGCUAAACCGUAAGGUGAUGUAUAGGGGCUGACGCCUGCCCGGUGCUGGAAGGUUAAGAGGAGUGGUUAGCUUCUGCGAAGCUACGAAUCGAAGCCCCAGUAAACGGCGGCCGUAACUAUAACGGUCCUAAGGUAGCGAAAUUCCUUGUCGGGUAAGUUCCGACCCGCACGAAAGGCGUAACGAUUUGGGCACUGUCUCAACGAGAGACUCGGUGAAAUCAUAGUACCUGUGAAGAUGCAGGUUACCCGCGACAGGACGGAAAGACCCCGUGGAGCUUUACUGUAGCCUGAUAUUGAAAUUCGGCACAGCUUGUACAGGAUAGGUAGGAGCCUUUGAAACGUGAGCGCUAGCUUACGUGGAGGCGCUGGUGGGAUACUACCCUAGCUGUGUUGGCUUUCUAACCCGCACCACUUAUCGUGGUGGGAGACAGUGUCAGGCGGGCAGUUUGACUGGGGCGGUCGCCUCCUAAAAGGUAACGGAGGCGCUCAAAGGUUCCCUCAGAAUGGUUGGAAAUCAUUCAUAGAGUGUAAAGGCAUAAGGGAGCUUGACUGCGAGACCUACAAGUCGAGCAGGGUCGAAAGACGGACUUAGUGAUCCGGUGGUUCCGCAUGGAAGGGCCAUCGCUCAACGGAUAAAAGCUACCCCGGGGAUAACAGGCUUAUCUCCCCCAAGAGUUCACAUCGACGGGGAGGUUUGGCACCUCGAUGUCGGCUCAUCGCAUCCUGGGGCUGUAGUCGGUCCCAAGGGUUGGGCUGUUCGCCCAUUAAAGCGGUACGCGAGCUGGGUUCAGAACGUCGUGAGACAGUUCGGUCCCUAUCCGUCGUGGGCGUAGGAAAUUUGAGAGGAGCUGUCCUUAGUACGAGAGGACCGGGAUGGACAUACCUCUGGUGUACCAGUUGUCGUGCCAACGGCAUAGCUGGGUAGCUAUGUGUGGACGGGAUAAGUGCUGAAAGCAUCUAAGCAUGAAGCCCCCCUCAAGAUGAGAUUUCCCAACUUCGGUUAUAAGAUCCCUCAAAGAUGAUGAGGUUAAUAGGUUCGAGGUGGAAGCAUGGUGACAUGUGGAGCUGACGAAUACUAAUCGAUCGAAGACUUAAUC
rnacentral:rRNA from 38 species